ACAGGGCUAAAUAGAAUCUGAUGUUGAAUCAGACCAUGCAUGUAUGCACAUAUAUCUUACCUUCUGCCUCUUAGAUUCAUAAGACGAAAAGCAAUUUUAACCCAGGUUAUCUUGCGAGGAUCAAAAGUCAACUUUAAGCGAGCUGGGCAAUAUACUGCAACAAGUUUUUUAUAAAUGAAUAACCAUAAAACGUUAACAGCAAAAGAGAUAUAAGAAAACCAACAGCAGAAUGACCAUAUCAUACUCGCCAACUCAAAAGCCUGCAACUAAAAACAAGCAUGAGUGCUCUUGUCGCGAUGCCCCGAUCAGCAGAUACCGUUUACCCAGCACCGGGUUAAGAGUGCUAAGUGCCCUAAGCAGCGAUAAUCCCAAGUAAUAAAUAUGUCGUCCUGGAGCUGCAGGUUGAAGUGGUGCUGUCAGAAUCACAACCCUGUAACAUCAAGCCAAAUUCUGAGGAAAAAGGCGGUUUUGGCUUUGUGUAAGAUGAAACACAAACUGCGGCCAGGCAACUG